rnacentral:rRNA from 1 species
GACGAACGCUGGCGGCGUGCUUAACACAUGCAAGUCGAACGGAAAGGCCCUGCUUUUGUGGGGUGCUCGAGUGGCGAACGGGUGAGUAACACGUGAGUAACCUGCCCUUGACUUUGGGAUAACUUCAGGAAACUGGGGCUAAUACCGGAUAGGAGCUCCUGCUGCAUGGUGGUGGUUGGAAAGUUUCGGCGGUUGUGGAUGGACUCGCGGCUUAUCAGCUUGUUUGUGGGGUUGUGACUUACCCAGGGUUUGAGGGGUAGCCGGCCUGAGAGGGUGGCCAGGGACAUUGGGACUGAGGGACGGACCAGAAUCCUAUGGGCGGCAGAGGUGGGGAGUAUUGCGCAAUAGGGGCGAGCGUGAUAUGGAGGCGCCGCGUGCGGGAAGACGGGCUUUGGGUGGUGAACAGCUUUCGCCUGUGACGCGGCGUGAGUGACGGUAAUGGGUAAAAAAGCACCGGCUAACUACGUG